GUCCAGACUCCUACGGGAGGCAGCAGUGGGGGAUAUUGCACAAUGGGGGAAACCCUGAUGCAGCGACGCCGCGUGGGUGAAGAAGCGCCUCGGCGCGUAAAGCCCUGUCAGCAGGGAAGAAAAUGACGGUACCUGAAGAAGAAGCCCCGGCUAACUACGUGCCAGCAGCCGCGGUAAUACGUAGGGGGCAAGCGUUAUCCGGAUUUACUGGGUGUAAAGGGGGCGCAGACGGCGAUGCAAGCCAGGAGUGAAAGCCCGGGGCCCAACCCCGGGACUGCUCUUGGAACUGCGUGGCUGGAGUGCAGGAGAGGCAGGUGGAAUUCCGUGUGUAGCGGUGAAAUGCGUAGAUAUACGGAGGAACACCAGUGGCGAAGGCGGCCUGCUGGACAUUAACUGACGCUGAGGCGCGAAAGCGUGGGGAGCAAACAGGAUUAGAUACCCCAGUA
rnacentral:rRNA from 1 species